rnacentral:lncRNA from 1 species
UUUCUAAUCUAACAAAACAAAAGAAAACAAAAACUAACAGAAAAGAGAGAAACUCUCUCUUGUUUCUCUCUUUACGCCGCUCGAAUAACAGGCCGCUCGAGAGCCCCCUCGCCUUCGCCCGUUCAACUCCGAUUAGCCAGGAGAAGAAGAAGGCUUCAUCGGCGCUGUUAACAGGUAAUUUCCAACCCCUUUUUUAGAUCUAUCCUUAUAUAUGUAUAGCUGAUAAAAAGGAAAAGGAGAGAAAAAUGAUUCGGAAAAAGAACAGAAUGAAAAAGAGAAGAAAAAAACGUUCUUCUCAAUUUUUUUUGUAUUGAUUUCAUGUUCAUGUGAUACAAUAUGCCCCCCCUUCGUAAACUUUACAAAAUGGCUUUAUAGCCGAAAGUGACAAAAAUAAAAUUACAAAAGAUCUAUUUUUCUUUUUCUUUUUUUCUUUUUUGUUUUGCUGCCGAUUUCUGCUCGUAUUUUCUUGUUUGCUUGUGCUCUGUUGCUUUGUGUGUUGCAGGAGGCCGUACGGUGACGUGGUGAGGCUCGGUGCAGUGCAUGGAAGCGUGGCACGUAGUGGUGGCGCACGUGCGGAGGUGUUGGCGGAGUGCAGGCAGAGGCGCAGGAGGCAUGCGGCGCAAAAAGGGUUAGGGAACCCUAGGUUUUUUCUGAUCUUGUUUGGUUUUUGGGCUUGGUUUGGGUUAAGGGUUUUGGGCCAUACUUAGACUAGUUGGGCUAGGUGUAAUUGGGGGUGUUAGUGAUUGGGUUCUUGUAAAUGGACACUAUGGUUUUUGGACUAUUUUUUAUUUUAUUAUUUUUUAUUAUCGGGCCGGGCAAUAUUGGGCCAUUACAUGUAGGUCAGAUUGUAAAUACGAGGGUCAUUAAGAGAAAAAUUGGGAUGCGAAUGUAAGGCCAUUACUGAUACAAAUAAGAACGUAAGGUUGUUAUUGCUAGAUGAAAUGAUAAAACCAUUGCUCACAAUUAAAUUGUACUUCACUCAAGGCAGUGGGCAUUUCUUUAUCCACCAAAUAAAAACAAUAAAAAUUUAAAACAUAACAAGUUUGUUUACGCAGUUCGGUUUCUUUACUUAUGUAGAAUCUAGUUUAAUAAGAAAUAUCUUGUAAUAUCCCAAGUAUCCCUUAAGUCGAGAAUGAUAUUAAAAUUGGGAGCAUAUGUGUGUGAAUAGGCGAAGGUAAUAAAAUAGAAAUUACAAGUGUUUAAAGUGAAGGUUAAGUGAUAUUGAAGGUAAUUGAAAAGACGUGUUUUGAUAGAAAUACAUCUGGGGUAUAUUCCACAACUUAGAAGCAAGAAAUUAGUAGAUAGAAGUGAAGAAAAUUAAAAGAAAAGAGAAGGAUAGUGAUGAAGUUGAGAAAGAAAUGGAAGAGAAGCAAAAGAGAAUAAAUUCUUGUCAAAAGAGGUAAGCUUUCAUAUUAACUUUACUUAUAUCUUAAUGAGUUAAGUUAAAUAUGUUAUGAAUUAAAUGCAAGAUAUGUAAAUCUUAAUUGAAAUAGUAGAGAGAGAGCAUAUUUGAAGAAGUAUGAUUUGUAGAAACACCAAGUUUCAAGUGAAAGAGAGAAAUAUGAAUUGUAUUAUGAGAAGUUUGAAGG